UACAGAGGGUGCGAGCGUUAAUCGGAGUUACUGGGCGUAAAGGGCGCGUAGGCGGUUAUAUAAGUGAGAUGUGAAAUCCCUGGGCUUAACCUAGGAACUGCAUCUCAUACUGUAUGACUGGAGUAUUGUAGAGGGUAGUGGAAUUUCCGGUGUAGCGGUGAAAUGCGUAGAGAUCGGAAGGAACACCAGUGGCGAAGGCGGCUACCUGGACAAAUACUGACGCUGAGGCGCGAAGAGCGUGGGGAGCAAACAGG
rnacentral:rRNA from 1 species